UGAAUACUGAAUUUCACUUAACUGAAAGGCUUGAAAAUAGGUCAGAAACAGACCAACAGGGGACGCCGUUUGCCAUUGCAGCCUCAAGUCACGUUAUUACUCGUCUUCCGCUACAUGCUCGCGCUAAACUAAUUUACAGGUUUAAACGACGUAGGUUGACGAUCAUCUUCAUCAUCAUUAUUAAGAAACUCUGUCCAUCCAGAAAUCCUGGUGUUUCCUGGAGGACAUACCCUCACUCCAUCCAGAAUGAAUCCGCUACACCUGUGUGUGAAAAGGUCACCUGACCACCCGUUGGCGAGUCAAGACCGAUCCCGCUGCCACACCAGAUUAUAGACAGGGCACUCUACUUUUAUUGUAUGGAAAAGAGCAGCAUGAACACCCUGCUAAAUAUCUCCUGUUGACUUCCUUUCAUAUACAGAACUAUAAGAGGUUGUCUUCCCAUCCUGUUCUCUCCUCCCAGUCACUCACCCUGUUAUCGUUGGAAGCACCAGGCCUGUUUUUGUGACCAACAGAGUCGGAUGGAAUUUUGGCGGCUGUUCACUCCAAACACACAAGGCCUUGGCGCAUGUAAUUAAUGCUCAGCAAACACCAUCCAGAAAAGAGAAAGCACAGAGCGGCGCAAGGCCGGGUGAGAGAGGAGGAGCAGGGAGGUUAGCUCCCAGAUGGUUGACUUGUCUUUCAUCAUUUUCCCUUUUAUUUUGGAAAUCCCUUUUGUCGUGACAAACAAUGGGCAGAAAGGACAUGUGUGCAUGUGACAUUAGAGUUGCUUUGCUGUCCUCGUAAGUUACGCAGACCGUCUGCUAGUGACUCACUUCGUCAGAGAAUUCAGGGCUUCCAGAUGUUCUGUGUCAAAGGUGUCCACAGGCUUGACGGGCUGCGGCCACUUUUCGUUGUGCAGACACUUCAAAGCAUUCUUCUUCCACCUGAGAUGGACAGCAUAUGCCGCUAUCAACCCUGAGCGAUAUGUAAAAUUUGAGGAUGGAAGCAGAAUAAAGCUCGAAAGAGA
ensembl:lncRNA